rnacentral:rRNA from 1 species
GACGAACGCUGGCGGCGUGCCUAAUACAUGCAAGUCGAGCGGACCUAACGUUUCUUCGGAAACGUGAGGUUAGCGGCGGACGGGUGAGUAACACGUAGGUAACCUGCCUGUAAGACUGGGAUAACAUUCGGAAACGAAUGCUAAUACCGGAUACGCGAAUUGGUCGCAUGGCCGAUUCGGGAAAGACGGAGCAAUCUGUCACUUACAGAUGGACCUGCGGCGCAUUAGCUAGUUGGUGAGGUAACGGCUCACCAAGGCGACGAUGCGUAGCCGACCUGAGAGGGGGAUCGGCCACACUGGGACGGAGACACGGCCCAGACUCCUACGGGAGGCAGCAGUAGGGAAUCUUCCGCAAUGGACGAAAGUCUGACGGAGCAACGCCGCGUGAGUGAUGAAGGUUUUCGGAUCGUAAAGCUCUGUUGCCAGGGAAGAACGCUUGGGAGAGUAACUGCUCCCAAGGUGACGGUACCUGAGAAGAAAGCCCCGGCUAACUACGUGCCAGCCGCCGCAGUAAUAC